GCUAAGUUCAUGACACUAAAUUAGCAGAUGAAGGCAUUAGGCCUGCCUGUGAAGGACAGGACUCUGGGUGGAUGUUGCCGGGCUGCUCAGGUGUAUGGAUAACCAUGGUGCAUUUCAGCCUCAGCUAGAGAGCAAGCGGGUUUGCUGUGCAGAGAGUGUAGUCUCUGAGUACUGGAUUGAUUUUUCUCCUCUCCCCGGCGCCCUGCCUCCUUUGUGGUUCAGUAGUUGGACAUCCUGAAGCGAAGAUCUCUCAGUCACUCCCUGACCUGGAGGAGAGCUGACUGGAUACCGAGAGGACCGAGCGUGCACAGCAAAAUCUGAAGCAGCUUCACACCCGCACUCAGCAGGCCCAGGAGCUCCAGAGUUUUCAGGAAGUUCGCUUAAUAGGAGUAUGGCUCACAUGGAAACAGAGAUUGAAGCGCUUAUGGGAUACAAGCAGGAGUGAAGAGCUCAGCAAGAAGCGUUGAAGAGGCAGAACAAAGCACAGCUUUCUGAGGUACGGUUGGAAACAGACGAGCCAGUGACAGCUGCAGACAGAGGACCCUCAGACUGGUGGCUCACGUCGCCAGGACAUCUUAAAAGAAGCAGAUGAGGUGAAAAAGGAGACGGCAGUAGGGCGUAAUCUUCGGUCUGGAUGAGACGGUGAAUCCAACUGCGGUGCCAUGUGGAAGUUCGGAAAAUUGAGGUCAGGCGACUCGAAGCUGAGCUUGAUGACAAGAGGAGCACAAGAUCCAGUGAUUUGACUGCAAGAGGAGCGCUGAUGAGGAGACCAGAGAACCAGAGGAUUCAGCCUCUGCCAGCUUUUGUGUUCGAGCAGCCCAGAUGGUUGCAGAGCUGGGGAAGUCUGCUGAGGAUUUUUGCUCUGAGGGGACCUCGUCUUUCAGCAAGCACCUCUCUGAUUUGGACACUACUUUGAUUUGACAGAUGUUAUGUUUUAACAACACUAGAACUUUAAUUAUCAACAAUAAGCAGUUAAACAGAUGAUUCUGGUAAACCGAGAGGUGCAGAGACAGAUUUUUUUGUUUUUGAUUUUAGUUUUCUGUCUUUUUCAGAUGCAACUUUAUGACCGAAUGCAACUGCUGUGAUUUUGUAAUAUAUAAAACCCAUUCAAUUGAAAAAUGAAAUGAUAAGCAUCCAGAUGCUUUGUUAAUGUAGGUCAGAUCAUUUUUUUUUAUUAUUUGUUUUGUUUUUUUGUGAAAAUGUUCUGAAGCCCACUAUGUUUUACUUUCCAUUAUUCUAUUUAUUUAUUUUUUAAUAAUGACCUCGGAUGAGUAUUAACGUCUGUUUUAUCGCAAAGUUUCUACAUGCCGAUUUCUAAAAAAGAAAACUAGAGCACUUGAGUCACAACUACUCCUAAAGCAACAAACCCACAAGCCAAUCUAGCCAAAAUCUUAAUGAAUGUGGCCAGAUAGACAAGAAAUUGCAGCCAAAUAAAAGAAUAAUAAAGGCAUCCAAACCCUAACAA